rnacentral:lncRNA from 1 species
GAAUUCUGUCAUUGUCUCUUUUGAUAAUUGAGUACUCUCCACCAAUGUAGUCCCCUAGGAGGGGAGGGGUUCAGGAGAGAGGAGAAAAAAACAGAAGAGAAUUAACAUGAAUUAAGCAAAGAUUCUGUGCCAGGCACCAAAGCUAAGGAGCUUCACACGUUAUCUCUUUAAUCUCCUCAAAACUUUGAGAAUGGAUCAUUGUUAGCUCAUUUUACAAACAGGAAAAUGAAAGAUUUGAAAGGCUCUUAAUGAAUCUCCCUGCCUACAACUUCAGGACCGCCUGAAUCCAUCUUUCCCCUGGUGGCCACCAUGAUCUUUAAAAUAUGCCCCUUUUGUCUGGAAGCUUCAGCUAUAUGCCAUCUCAAGUUCCAUCUUCCUGGAAAACCCUUGUAAAUCCACCACUGUUAGGCUUAGCCAUCAUCUCCUUGAUGAAGCCUAUCCCUGACCUCUGCCCAAGAGAUGGGGGUCUUGCUAUGUUGCCUAGGCUGGUGUAUAGUGGCUAUUUACAGGCACAGUCAUAGCCUCAGCCUUCCAAGUAGCUGGCACUACAGGUGCAGCCAACAUGCCUCGCUAAGCUGAACCAUUUUAAAGUAAGCAAUUCAGUUUGUGUUGUGCAACCAACACCUUUAUCUAGUUCCAAAAUAUUUUCAUCACCAGUUUCAUUAUCAGCAAUUUUAUGGGCAGCUAAUAAUCUGUGUUCUGUCUCUAUCCUGAGUAUUCAUGUGAAUGAAAUCAUUUAAUGUGACCCCUUGUGUCUGGCAUCUUUCACUUAGCAUAAUGUUUUCGAGGUUCAUCCACAUUGUAGCAUGUCCCAGCACUUUAGUCCUUCUUUGAUGAGUUAUAUUUUAUUGUACAGUUAUAAGACUUGGUUUUGAGACCAGACUCCACUUAGUUCUUGCCUUGAGGUGGGCAAGACACUAACCUUUCUGAGCCUCAAUUUCCUGAACUGUAAAAUAGGGAUGGUAACAAGAAUUUGGAUACCUGUAACACAAAAUUGUGUGUAUGAAAUGGAGGACUGCACAUGAAAAUGCCUGCUGCAUGAUCAGGCCAAACAGAAUGUGCUGGACCCAGAUCCAGACCCAGACCCACACCCAGACCCAACCACUGGAGUGGAGCUGGAGGCAAGAGCUGCAGGCAGCAGGCCCGGCUGCAGGCUACAGAAAGAACUCUAGCUAGGAGAAAGUGAAGCGCUGAGGAUGGUCAUCUAGGCAAAUUGUCAGCAAGAGGGAAGCUUGCCAAGAGAGAAAGGCAGUGUCUCCUUGAUGGCUGGAACUCAGUCUCAGGGCAUCUAGGCAUCCCUGAAAUCUGAGAUUUCUGUGAGGAAACAGUUCCUUUUGGGGCUUAGGGACUGGUCUGUUAUCUCAGUGAGGACAGGCAGGAGUGGUCAUCCAAGUCGGAUUUCUGAAUCUAAGGAAGCCGACUAGCAAUAGGCAUCCAGACAUGAGGGAAUUAAGUGGACCUCAGCAAUUAGAAUAGGGGUCCCAAGUCAGUCUGGCCCUAAGAUUCACUUGUGCUGUGUUGUUGAACUAGGGUUUACUUUCUGUCCAGCGAUAAGAUUGAUCCCAAAGACUCCCUCCUUAGGAGGGAAAGGGGAGCCAUCAGUGGUGAGGCAAGGGCAUACAUGAGUGACAUUUUGCAGAGAUUCAAGUGAUAUGUGGUCAUGGCUUUAUUUCUCUUCCUCAUAAUUCUAUAUGUUAUAGAAUUGGUUCAUAUAACAACCUAUAUAAGUUGGUACAAAAGUAAUUGUGGUUUUUGCAUUAUUGAAAUUUGCC